UAAACUUCUAACCCUGAGCAAAGAGUCACC
rnacentral:piRNA from 1 species